rnacentral:lncRNA from 1 species
GUGCUUUCAUUUCUUCGCUGCAGAAGAGGGAGGGUAGCACUCCCCUUCCUAAACGCAGAGCUGUGAGUAAAGUAUGCUCAGGCUUAUGUAUGAGUGCCACACAUUGACGACCUGCUAGGAGCUCUGGCUCUACAGAUUAAAGUCUCAUUAGACCUCUUGGGAAUAAAUAGAUUAUCAUGCAUGACUACUUUGGCUUUGCAUUGGUUAUUUUUAUUUUCCUUCCUCUCCCAUUCAUCUUGAUCGUAUUCUGGGUGGUGAUAUCAUUCCCAACCCACAGAUAAACCAGCUGUGACUGUUCUAUUCUAGUAUGAUAGAAUUGACCAGCACUGCCCCAGACUGAGUGAGUCUGCAACUCUGCUUCUCCAGUAGGAAGCAGGGACAGGAUGUGCCCAUAGCUUGGUCCACACAGUUCAACACGGUGUCCCUUCUCUGAGAGAAAGUGUGACAUUCUUACUAUGCACUUCAAGUGGAGCAAGAAGUAAAAUGGCUGUGGCAAGAAAAUAUGCACUGUAACCAUGAUGAACUGAAAACAGCAUUGCCAAAAUAACUGGAAUUUACUCAUUACCUGAAAGAGAGGAACUAUUACUGUCUGUUGUGAUGGGCGUAACUGGAGGUGUGUUCAUGUUUUCUAAGAACAAAGGAAGUUCAAAAUGUCUUUGUUCCCGUAAUCACUGGUUUGGAUGUUUUGCUUGUGGAUUUGCAAAGGGAGGUUUCUGCUGAUGUCUGCUCGAAGGGGGAUGUGCACUUCGACUAAUGGAAGUCACCUCAGGAUGAUAAGCACAAACUAUACCAAAGUACUUUGGGCUGCACUGUACUGGGAUUGGCCAUCCAUUUCUGAAAUGCCUUUCCGGCAUCCUGAAGCAGCAUCCGUCCUGCAAGAGCAACAGUGUGUGAAAACCAUAGGAAGAAACUUAUCAAUGGUUUAUCCAGUAGGGAAGCGAGCCAUUUCGAAGAAUCAUAAGCCAACAAAUUCAACAGCAGAAACAGGAGAGAGAGGACAUUGAGGAGUCAUUUCAAGAGGGCCAGUAGCCGCUGCUUACUGGUCAGAGCCAUUCCAGACUUUAUGCUUGUAAUUGGCACUGUAAGAUGCUUUUGCUUUUUAUGUUUCCAAGUGAGCC